UUUUGCUUCAUUGUGAAAGCAGACAGUAUGGAGGCGAUACAAGAAUGGGUCAAACAAUCAAAGGGAAUUGUGUCUAAUGUGGCUUGUAGCUUCUGCCUUGUGGUCUUGGAGAAGAUUCUGGAGAUGGAGGUUCGGUGUCCCUGCGAUCAUAUAUGGAAAAUGUUCUUAACGUCUGCAUUCUUUAUCAUUCCUGCCUUUUUAUCAUUCUUGCUGAUGCUACAAGUUCAAGGACCUAGGAGUAACAUAGUAAAAUGGAAGGCUUACUUGUCAAGCCUCAUCCCUUCGUUGGUGUGGUUGAUCAUACUGUUCUUUGAUGGUAGAUACUUUGCUUGUGCCAUGGCAAAAUUAAAUGAAACAGGAGUCAUUCGUAAUGACGAUUCUUCUGUGAAAAUGUGUGAGGAUGCAGGGAAAGAUCAACAUCAGAAUUUCCUUUUUUGGGAAAUCUGUUCUCAGGGAAUUGGUAUGGGUCUGCUCUUGGUCACCUGUGUGGUGGUCAUAGCAUCCAUAUGCAGCAACUGCAAUUGUGAGUUACAUAGAGAUGACCAAGAUUCAGAAAGAGGAGGAGGAGGAUCAGGAG